UCUGACACCCACCACCUUCAACGUGCCCAAUUUCAUCUGAUCUCGGAAGCUAAGCAGGGUCGGACCUGGUUGGUACUUGGAUAGGAGACCAAUUUGUUCUUAUUA
rnacentral:rRNA from 1 species